rnacentral:rRNA from 1 species
CCAAUCUAGAGUNUCGGAGAGGAAAGUGGAAUUCCUAGUGUAGCGGUGAAAUGCGUAGAUAUUAGGAAGAACNCCAGUGGCGAAGGCGACUUUCUGGACGAAAACUGACGCUGAGGCGCGAAAGCCAGGGGAGCGAACGGGAUUAGAUACCCCGGUAGUCCUGGCCGUAAACGAUGGGUACUAGGUGUAGGAGGUAUCGACCCCUUCUGUGCCGGAGUUAACGCAAUAAGUACCCCGCCUGGGGAGUACGACCGCAAGGUUGAAACUCAAAGGAAUUGACGGGGGCCCGCACAAGCGGUGGAGUAUGUGGUUUAAUUCGACGCAACGCGAAGAACCUUACCAGGUCUUGACAUUGAUGGACAGAACUAGAGAUAGUUCCUCUUCUUCGGAAGCCAGAAAACAGGUGGUGCACGGUUGUCGUCAGCUCGUGUCGUGAGAUGUUGGGUUAAGUNNNNNNANNNNNNNCAACCCCUAUCUUAUGUUGCCAGCACGUAAAGGUGGGGACUCAUGAGAGACUGCCGCAGACAAUGCGGAGGAAGGCGGGGAUGACGUCAAAUCAUCAUGCCCCUUAUGACCUGGGCUACACACGUACUACAGUGGGAGUUAAUAGACGGAAGCGAGAUCGCGAGAUGGAGCAAACCCGAGAAACACUCUCUCAGUUCGGAUCGUAGGCUGCAACU